UACGGAGGGGGCUAGCGUUGUUCGGAUUUACUGGGCGUAAAGGGCGCGUAGGCGGCCACCGCAAGUCGACUGUGAAAUCUCCGGGCUUAACUCGGAAAGGUCAGCCGAUACUGCGGGGCUAGAGUGCAGAAGGGGCAACUGGAAUUCUCGGUGUAGCGGUGAAAUGCGUAGAUAUCGAGAGGAACACCUGCGGCGAAGGCGGGUUGCUGGGCUGACACUGACGCUGAUUGUGCGAAAGCUAGGGGAGCGAACGGG
rnacentral:rRNA from 1 species